CGGCAGUUCCAGCUUGAGCUGCAGCAGCAGCGCGGCCAGCGCGCCCGCCUUGUCGUCCUGCGAGCCAGGCAGGAUCAGCUCCCUCAGCUUCUCGCCCGCCAGCAGCGCGGUCGCCAUGUCCGCCGACUGCUCCAGGAGGGUUCCUGGCUGUAUUGAGAUGUCCCAGUUACCUAUGACAAGACCAUCACUCCAGGGUUCCCUGUGCAGUCACUCUGAGGGCCUCUGAAUAUUCCCUGCACCCUCUUUGGCUUCUCAGAGGGCUACGCUGCUUACGCCCCAUCAUCCCACCUUCCAGAGCUCAGCAUUGUUUCUUUGUUGCCCUUCUCUGAUUGCACACUGAAUGACCACUUCUGAGUGAAUUCUUGUCUUUCUCUGACCUGCAGUUCCUUUAUUUUCCAAAUGUUGUCUCCUUUGUUAACUAUUUGUGCAUGCUUCUCCAAGGCCUUUAUCUAUCUACUCUGAGUGGAGAGUCUUGUUUUGUAAAUAAAUUACGUGUAUAGGU